UGAUUGACUGAAAACCUACUCUAUGAAUGGAAGAGACGCUUGAGCGUCAAUUCCAAGUGUCUAUUACAAGCCACUCAGUAAAUGACUAUUUGGUGAAAAAAUAGAUGGAGUAAUGAAUGGCUGAAUCUACAAAUAUAAUGGAAUUUGUGCUCCUUUUGAAGGAUUUCCGCCCCUCUGGGGAAGGAUGUGAGAGUGCUGCUUUCAGUUUGAGUUCCACAUAAUUAGACUCAUCUGUCUUCUCUACAGGACUGUGAGGAGAGAAGAGGUCGGAUCUGUCUUAAUUACAACUGGAAUUCCAGGAUUUAGCAUCAUGCUAAAUCAACACCUGUAGGCCAGAGACAUCCCUUUCAGAGAUAUGCUGAGAAGGAAGGAGAUCAGGAAGACAGGUACAAGUUCACUUGAAAGAAAGUUGAGAUCCUUGGACUGUACCUUUCAUAGAACCAACAUUCUAGCACAUAGGCAACAAUAUAAACUACAUCA